rnacentral:lncRNA from 1 species
AAGAACCAUGAAAAUUAGGAAAGCUUUAUGCAAAAUUGAACUAUUUGUUUUCAUAACGUUAUAUUUGUGGGAGCCAGAAAUACCUUUGACGCCUCAUCAUGUUAACCCAUUCUCAUGAUAUCUUCAAGCAGGAAUUGAGCAAAGAUCCACCUCUUUCCGGCUUUCCCCAACUUUGAGGUUUCUUUUUCCAUCUGCAGAACAUUAAACCUUAGUUAGCAUUAACCCAAACCACAGUUGGAAAACCCAACUUAAAAAGAAAUAUAUGAAAGUUAUUUCUGCGUAUUCACAAAAGAACAAACCUUUUGUAUCUGAAGAUCUUUUGUCCUCACCUUCAUUACACAAUCUCAGUUUGAGGCAGGGUCAAACUUUAUAGGCUAUGUUAAUCCAUCCGUGAAUAUACAUCAAUAGUGAAGCUAUUAACACAGAAAAAAAUCAGUAAAAAUAUAUAAUGGUCCCUUAACACCUUUCUCGUUGAGCAUUGCAGUUUCUAUAAGUGCUUGCUGGUGUUCAAUCCUUCGACAACACCCCUAACAGCUUAAUCACCUUGGAGAGUUUAUCAUCGUAGUUAUGAAUAUCAGAGACCCAUCGUUUUGCAUGAUUGCAUCAUGACUCUAUCUGCAGGAAU